rnacentral:lncRNA from 1 species
UGAGCCCCGACGCGGCGGCCGCGGCGUUCGGUGGGGACCGGGAGAGGGGACACAAACGGGAACCGCGCGGGGAAACAGCACCGGGACGCGGGGGGAUGCGGCACCCGCCACGCUCCGCUCCCUUCCUCUGCCACAGCCUCCGACAGCCUCAUAGAACACUAUUCCCCCCGCUGCCUCAACUUCCCCAGGGCAGCAGGAGCGGCAGGAGCAGCCCGCACCGCGCUCCAGUCAGCGGGGGACAGCAGGGCCUGAAGCGCGCAUCGGGAAGAGGAGGAGGAGGAGAAGGAGGAGAGGCCAAAGGCUUCUGCAGGCAGCCAUGGGCCGCCGGAAGCCCGAGGAGGAGAGGGGGGGGGAGGAGAGGCCGGAUCCGGAUACCCCACAGAGCUAUUUUCAUGGGGUUGACAGAUCUGUCCAUCCACCCGUCCGUCCGUCCAUCCCUCUGUCCGUCCAUCCCUCUGUCCGUCCAUCCACCCAUCCCAGCUCCAGGGAAGCAGCGCACCCCAGAUGUGGAACGGCACCCCACGGAGCGGGGAGAGGACACGAGCACCCCCAGCCCACCCCCAGCCCCUUACUUGGCUCCGGCGCUCAGGGCACGACUCUUCCUCAGCACAGCCGCCAGCAUCGUCCGGGCACGGGGAUGGGGAUGGGGAUGGGGCCCGUCCUGCCCCCCGUCACCCCCCAGCUCCGGGCCACCCCCACGUCCCCAACUUCCUCCGCCAGUUCCCACCGCGGGGAGAGCGCACGACAAAGAGGAAGCGGGGAGAGACGGGGACGGUGACAUCAGCCCCCACCACAUGGCCACGCGGUCCCUGCGCACCCCGGGGGGCAGGAAGGCGGGACACGGCCAUGUGGGACGUGACACGAGUGGCAGAGCCCCGCGUGGGCUCAGCGUCACCUCCGUGCCUUGGUGUUAUUAAUGCCACUGCGCCGCGGGUCCCACCUGAAGCAGUCGGCGUGCCAGUCGGCGUUCAGCGCCUGCAGGUACUGCCCAUCGAAGAUGCCCUGGCCGCAGCUCGCACACACGGGCAGGUCGGUCCCUUCCUCCUCUCCCAUGGGCUCGUCCCUCCAGGUGCAGCACAGCAGCAUCAACCUCAUGCAGCCGCGCUGCCCGGCACCGCGCCAGGCCCUGCCGCCGCCGCUGCCGCCCCGGGCCCUGCCCUGCCCUGCCCCGCCGCUGCGGUGCGGCUCCGGCUGCGGCUCCGGCGGGCACGGGCGGGCGGCGGGCGGGGACGGGCCGGGGGCGCAGGGCGCCGGCGCG